CCUACGGGGGACAGCAGUGAGGAAUAUUGGUCAAUGGGCGCGAGCCUGAACCAGCCAAGUCGCGUGAGGGAAGACGGUCCUAUGGAUUGUAAACCUCUUUUGUCGGGGAGCAAAAGACGCCACGCGUGGCGUUCCGAGAGUACCCGAAGAAAAAGCCUCGGCUAACUCCGUGCCAGCAGCCGCGGUAAUACGGAGGAUGCGAGAGUUAUCCGGAUUUAUUGGGAUUAACGGGUGCGCAGGCGGAAGCUCAAGUCAGCGGUAAAAGUGAGAGGCUCAACCUCUUCGAGCCGUUGAAACUGGUGUUCUGGAGUGAGCGAGAAGUAUGCGGAAUGCGUGGUGUAGCGGUGAAAUGCAUAGAUAUCACGCAGAACUCCGAUUGCGAAGGCAGCAUACCGGCGCUCAACUGACGCUCAUGCACGAAAGUGUGGGUAUCGAACAGGAUUAGAUACCCGUGUAGUC
rnacentral:rRNA from 1 species